rnacentral:lncRNA from 1 species
GCAAAGCAUGUUUAUGGGGCUUCCAAAGUAGCAGCUACUGCAAGCACUAAGAAACUGGAUUUGUUGAGAACCUUGGGUGCUGAUUUGGCUAUCGAUUACACCAAGGAGAACUUCGAGGACCUGCCAGAGAAAUUUGAUGUAGUGUAUGAUGCAGUUGGUAAGAAUCUUCUGCUCCCUCUUGUUGUCUGCAUAAGCUUUUUCUGUAGCUAGUACAGUUAUCUUUUCUGUGUUGAUCUUUCGUUUAUCACUGGAAACCUAAAUAGAACAACUGAUGAUGGAGAGGGUGUAGAAUUAUCAUGCAUGGAUAAUCUUAUAUGGAUAUAAUCAAACUGAUCGAACAUUUGAAUGUAUCUAUAGCAAAUUAGCAAUGAAUGAAUUAGAAGACUUUAGCGACUGAUGUUGUAUUUGUAAAACAAAAAUAGGGGAGACAGAUAAGGCUGUGAAGGCGGUGAAAGAAGGUGGGAAGGUUGUAACAAUAGUAGGUCCAGCAACGCCACCGGCUAUCCUUUUUGUGCUUACCUCUAAAGGGUCUGUGUUGGAGAAACUGAAGCCUUACUUGGAGAGUGGGAAGGUGAAGCCAGUUCUUGAUCCCACAAGUCCAUAUCCCUUUACUAAAGUUGUUGAAGCAUUUGGUUACCUUGAGAGUUCCAGAGCUACCGGAAAGGUGGUUGUGUAUCCCAUCCCAUGAGGUUGAGAGUGUAUGUGUGAAUGAUCUAUGAGACUAUGAUUGUGUAGAGUCCAUUUCCUUCCUCUUGUAUGUGUGUAGCAGUAUAUUUUAAUCUUGAAGCCUUGUAAUAAUGAAUAAGAUUGAGUCCUUAAUAAAUUGUCAUUACAUGAAAUGGUUACAGCUUACGUUUUGUUUCAUUUUUUCACAAUUGUCACUGCUUAC